rnacentral:lncRNA from 1 species
GAACCAAACUAAAAAUCCAUGCUUGAUCAUAAUCAAGAUAAUAAUUUAACCUUUAAUUAUAUAGAUCAAGAUAGGUUUUGAUACCACUAUUGGGUUUCGGUGAUGCAGCAGAAGGAUUAUGUGUUUAAAAUUUUCAUUAAAAACACCCGAUGCACCAGAAAUCCUAAUACCCAGAAACUCUUGACUAUAUCAAUCAAAGUACAAUAAAAUAAAUUUGGAUCAAAAGAAUACCUAUAAUGCU